rnacentral:rRNA from 1 species
CACGUAGGGCGCAAGCGUUGUCCGGAAUUAUUGGGCGUAAAGAGCUCGUAGGCGGUCUGUUGCGUCCGCUGUGAAAACCCGAGGCUCAACCUCGGGCCUGCAGUCGAUACGGGCAGACUAGAGUUCGGUAGGGGGAGACUGGAAUUCCUGGUGUAGCGGUGAAAUGCGCAGAUAUCAGGAGGAACACCGGUGGCGAAGGCGGGGUCUCUGGGCCGAAACUGACGCUGAGGAGCGAAAGCGUGGGGAGCGAACAGG